AACCUCCGCAAUGUGAGAAAUCGCGACGGGGGGAUCCCAAGUGCCAUUCUUAACGGGAUGGCUUUUCAUUAGUGUAAAGAGCUUUUGGAAUAAGGGCUGGGCAAGACCGGUGCCAGCCGCCGCGGUAACACCGGCAGCUCUAGUGGUAGCAGUUUUUAUUGGGCCUAAAGCGUCCGUAGCCGGUUUAAUAAGUCUCUGGUGAAAUCCUGUAGCUUAACUGUGGGAAUUGCUGGAGAUACUAUUAGACUUGAGACCGGGAGAGGUUAGAGGUACUCCCAGGGUAGAGGUGAAAUUCUGUAAUCCUGGGAGCCGCCUGUUGCGAAGGCGUCUAACUGGAACGGUUCUGACGGUGAGGGACGAAAGUUAGGGGCGCGAACCGGAUUAGAUACCCGGGUAGUCCUAACUGUAAACGAUGCGGACUUGGUGUUGGGGUGGCUUUGAGCUGUUCCAGUGCCGAAGGGAAGCUGUUAAGUCCGCCGCCUGGGAAGUACGGUCGCAAGACUGAAACUUGAAGGAUU
rnacentral:rRNA from 1 species